ensembl:snRNA U6 U6 spliceosomal RNA
CUGCUCUCUUCAGCAGCACAUAUGCUAACAUUGGAUCGGUACAGAGAAGAUUAGCAUGGCCCCUGCGUAAGGAUGACAGGCAAAUUCGUGAAGGUUCCAUAGUUUUG